CCGCUGUGGCUUUUAGCACCUUCAGCUAAUCAAAGCUUCCUCGGCGAUCUCCCUCUUACCUUUGAUGUGCCUUUAAUCUGAGACGGACGGGCUGCGGGAUUAGCCCAUCAGCUAACGUUAGUGUUUACUCGCCAUCCCUGCGGUCCGAUCGACGGCGGCGCCGGCCGAAGAGCGGCAGGACUUGAUGUAAAGGAGCCAUCGAUCAGAGUCUGGUUGCAUCACGUGUGAGGCCGCUAACGGCCGCAGCGUCUGCAUCCUCACGCCAUCGCAGCGACCCGCUCGCUCACCCCCCCCCCCCCGCCCCCCCACCCCCCCCCACACACACACACACGCCUUACAUCAUCUCAACGCUGGUCCCAGACCAGCUGCUGAGCGGCGGCGGCCCGGUUGCACGUCCUUCCACAAGGUUCUGGUGGCAGAGCGGGGGCCCGGUGGCCCCGUCCCGGACCAAAAAGGGCCUGAGCAGAAUCAAGAGUCAGCAAACCUGACGGGGAAUUACGUCCCUGCAUCCGUUUCGGAGCGGGAAUGUUGUCGGAAGCAGAGGCUGCGUUGUUCCCUCCCCCCAAAAGAUUAAAAUAAAUAAAGAUGGAAUCGGGGAAUGAGAAUUUAACUUUCUGGGCGAUAACGGGAACGUCGAGCUCUUCCCGCUCCGUAAUCAAUAACCGGGGAGGCGGAGGAGGAAACGCUGAGAUUGAGGACGUGUGCGUGAGGACGCCGAUGUGCCCGCCAGCAGAACCCGCCGAGCGUUGCCUGGAGAUAAGGAUGGGCGUCGCUGCUUCCUGGUCCGCCCCCAUCCUUCCCUCUGCACACCUGCGACCCAUCACACAAUCACCUCCACCUCCCUCCUGUUCUAUGACGUCCACAGACCCGUCGUGUCCUCGCCGUGGACGUCUUCUGUGUUGUCAAUUGCUGCUUUUCUACUGCCAACCUUCAGUAAAUACACCCGAUCCAGCGGUGUGUGUGUGUGUGUGUGUGUGUGUGUGUGUGUGUGUGUGUGUGUGUGUGUGUGUGUGUGUGUGCGUGUGUGUGUGUUUCUGCCACAGUCAAACCACGUUCCUGACAGAGGACACGGGAGCACAAAGGGGUUUUUGGACAAUCAGGCCUGACGGACGCAGCUGCGCCAGCGCUAACGUAUAUUUUUCCACACACCUACGCAGGCUCGUUAGGAUCGACUGCCCGGAAAGUCGGCGUUCUGACAGCUCCUGUUUGAAAUUCUCCGCGUGUGUUAAACCCUGCCG
rnacentral:lncRNA from 1 species